AGAGAAGAUGCAGAAACAGACAUGGAAGAGAACAGACACAGCCAGAGCAGAACAGGGAGGUGCCAUGGGACAUCAGUGAGGAAGUGGGCUAACUCAGCCCAGGGACAGCAUCUACAGAGGCUCCAGCCAACCUGAGGCUCAGAUGAUUGACAGGACAUCGGAAACUCUGCUAACUGCCAUAGUUACGGGUGAAGACUGGCCUGUUAAUAGUGUGAAAACCAUCUACCGAAGUGGAACUCUAAUAAAAUGGAGCUGUGAAGAAACAGCCUUCCUGUGCAUGGUCCUUAACAAGAACUGCCACGGAAGAUUUCCUAAGAGCUUUGCAGAGAAGGCUUCUCUGUUUGUUGUCUCCUACCUGCACAGGCUGACAUUCUCACAAACGGUGUGUAAGAGUGCCAGUUUCUGCAGAUGCUCACCAACGCUGCGUCUUCACCAACGCUGCAUCCUUACCAACACUAGCCAUUGUACUUUUUGUUUGUUCGUUUGUUUGUUUGUUUGUUUGUUUGUUUUGA